UCCAUCCUCACGGACUGCCACGGUGUGUUCCGCAGGGCCUUCUCUUCCCCUUCCCUUUCCUCUUUCCUUUUCCUCUUCCCCUUCCCUUUCCCCUUCUCCUUCCCUUCGUACCCCGGAGUCCCGGCUCCGCGGGGCAGGGACAAGCCCCCGACUCUGGGUGCCCAGCACGGCGAGCCUGCUGCCCGUUACCUCCCCUCCAGCACGCCGCCCCUCGCGACCUCCCCCCCUCCACAGCCGGUGCCUGGCGCGGGCGGCGCGGCCCCGCGGCCCGGCCCGGCCCCGCCGCUGGCAGCCGCCGGGGCGGAGCCCUCGCGCCCUAUCGCCGCCGGGCCUCCCGCCGCCUCCCCUCACGGCCCGGCCCCGGCUCCGGCCCCGGCCCCGGCCCCGGCCCCGGCCGCGGCGAGGCGGAGCGGAGCGGGGCGGGGACCCGCGGCGGUGCCGCCCGCCCGUGCGCGGCGGCCGGGGCUGGCCCCGCGGCCGGCCGGGAGCCCUGGAACGGUGUCUGUGGGCCCGGGCCGGCUGGGGCGAAACUCCCCGGGGGAGGGGAGGGAAAGGGAGGAGAGCGGCCGGGCCGGGAGCCGGGAGCGCUGUGGGGCCCUGCCCGCCCCGGCCCGAGCGAGGCGGCCGGCUCCGCGGCACCGAGCGGCGGCGUGCGGGGAGCGGCCGUGCGUUCGUGGCUCGGGGCAGGAGAGCCGGCAGCUGGCGGAGCCGGCCGGCACGGCUCAGCCCGCGGGGAAGAAAUGGCAGCACACGGAGAGGCGGGCGGUUAUGGUCGAAUAUAUGCUGUUUAUUUAUGAGUGUAACCAGGACUUCGGACAAACUUUAUAUGCAGCCCUCCCUACCCCCCAACAAUCCCCAACCCCGCCGCUGGGUCCCCACCCGCGGCGCACACGCCCCCCGCACACGCACGCCCCGGCGCUGCCCUCCCGCUGCCCCGGCCCCGGGCCGACUUGCUGCCCUGCUCCAGCUACGAGCGCUCCGGCGAAGGGUGUUUGUUUGGGCUGGUUUGUUUGUGUGUUGUUUCUUUUUAUUUUUUUUUUCCGCUCUCUGCCGGGGAUAAGCUCCGGAGUCCAAAGGUGCUGCGGCGGGGAGGCAGCGGCCGGCCCGGACCCGCGCUGCAGGCAGCGCAGCGCACACUCGCACUCACCCACCCACACAAAUAAUAAAAUAACGUUGCAGCACAAGGGCAUAGUCUCUGUCACCAGAUAA
rnacentral:lncRNA from 1 species